rnacentral:rRNA from 1 species
GAUGAACGCUGGCGGCGUGCCUAAUACAUGCAAGUCGAGCGAACGGACGAGAAGCUUGCCUCUCUGAUGUUAGCGGCGGACGGGUGAGUAACACGUGGAUAACCUACCUAUAAGACUGGGAUAACUUCGGGAAACCGGAGCUAAUACAGGAUAAUAUUUUGAACCGCAUGGUUCAAAAGUGAAAGACGGUCUUGCUGUCACUUAUAGAUGGAUCCGCGCUGCAUUAGCUAGUUGGUAAGGUAACGGCUUACCAAGGCAACGAUGCAUAGCCGACCUGAGAGGGUGAUCGGCCACACUGGAACUGAGACACGGUCCAGACUCCUACGGGAGGCAGCAGUAGGGAAUCUUCCGCAAUGGGCGAAAGCCUGACGGAGCAACGCCGCGUGAGUGAUGAAGGUCUUCGGAUCGUAAAACUCUGUUAUUAGGGAAGAACAUAUGUGUAAGUAACUGUGCACAUCUUGACGGUACCUAAUCAGAAAGCCACGGCUAACUACGUG